rnacentral:lncRNA from 1 species
AGGGAUGCGUGACUUGGGAGCUCGAUAUUCAGGGACUUGGCUUCCUGAUCUCUAAUGAUGUGCAACCUGAGAGCUUGGCCUUGGAGCUCAGAGUGGCUCUAGUUGGCCUCCAGAGACGUCCAUCCUGAUCUCCAAGGAUGCAUGACAUGAGAGCUCAGAAUGGCUCUGAUCGACCUCCACAAAAUUACGUCCUGAUCUCCAAGGAUGUACGACCUGAGAGAUCGGAAUCCAAGAACUCACAUUUUGAUCUUCAGAGAUACAUUAUCUGAAAGCUCAGCAUCAAGGAU